UACGGAGGGUGCAAGCGUUAUCCGGAUUUACUGGGUUUAAAGCGUGCGCAGGCGGUUUUGUAAGCCAGAUGUGAAAUCCCCGGGCUUAACCUGGGAAUGGCAUUUGGGACUGCAAGGCUGGAGUGCGGCAGAGGAGACUGGAAUUCCUGGUGUAGCAGUGAAAUGCGUAGAUAUCAGGAGGAACACCGGUGGCGAAGGCGGGACUCUGGGCCGAUACUGACGCUGAGGAGCGAAAGCGUGGGGAGCAAACAGG
rnacentral:rRNA from 1 species